rnacentral:tRNA from 1 species
GGAGUAUUAGCUCAGUUGGGAGAGCAUCUGCCUUACAAGCAGGCGGUCAGCGGUUCAAGUCCGUUAUACUCCA